GAUGAACGCUGGCGGCGUGCCUAAUACAUGCAAGUCGAGCGAACGGACGAGAAGCUUGCUUCUCUGAUGUUAGCGGCGGACGGGUGAGUAACACGUGGAUAACCUACCUAUAAGACUGGGAUAACUUCGGGAAACCGGAGCUAAUACCGGAUAAUAUUUUGAACCGCAUGGUUCAAAAGUGAAAGACGGUCUUGCUGUCACUUAUAGUUGGAUCCGCGCUGCAUUAGCUAGUUGGUAAGGUAACGGCUUACCAAGGCAACGAUGCAUAGCCGACCUGAGAGGGUGAUCGGCCACACUGGAACUGAGACACGGUCCAGACUCCUACGGGAGGCAGCAGUAGGGAAUCUUCCGCAAUGGGCGAAAGCCUGACGGAGCAACGCCGCGUGAGUGAUGAAGGUCUUCGGAUCGUAAAACUCUGUUAUUAGGGAAGAACAUAUGUGUAAGUAACUGUGCACAUCUUGACGGUACCUAAUCAGAAAGCCACGGCUAACUACGUGCCAGCAGCCGCGGUAAUACGUAGGUGGCAAGCGUUAUCCGGAAUUAUUGGGCGUAAAGCGCGCGUAGGCGGUUUUUUAAGUCUGAUGUGAAAGCCCACGGCUCAACCGUGGAGGGUCAUUGGAAACUGGAAAACUUGAGUGCAGAAGAGGAAAGUGGAAUUCCAUGUGUAGCGGUGAAAUGCGCAGAGAUAUGGAGGAACACCAGUGGCGAAGGCGACUUUCUGGUCUGUAACUGACGCUGAUGUGCGAAAGCGUGGGGAUCAAACAGGAUUAGAUACCCUGGUAGUCCACGCCGUAAACGAUGAGUGCUAAGUGUUAGGGGGUUUCCGCCCCUUAGUGCUGCAGCUAACGCAUUAAGCACUCCGCCUGGGGAGUACGACCGCAAGGUUGAAACUCAAAGGAAUUGACGGGGACCCGCACAAGCGGUGGAGCAUGUGGUUUAAUUCGAAGCAACGCGAAGAACCUUACCAAAUCUUGACAUCCUUUGACAACUCUAGAGAUAGAGCUUUCCCCUUCGGGGGACAAAGUGACAGGUGGUGCAUGGUUGUCGUCAGCUCGUGUCGUGAGAUGUUGGGUUAAGUCCCGCAACGAGCGCAACCCUUAAGCUUAGUUGCCAUCAUUAAGUUGGGCACUCUAAGUUGACUGCCGGUGACAAACCGGAGGAAGGUGGGGAUGACGUCAAAUCAUCAUGCCCCUUAUGAUUUGGGCUACACACGUGCUACAAUGGACAAUACAAAGGGCAGCGAAACCGUGAGGUCAAGCAAAUCCCAUAAAGUUGUUCUCAGUUCGGAUUGUAGUCUGCAACUCGACUACAUGAAGCUGGAAUCGCUAGUAAUCGUAGAUCAGCAUGCUACGGUGAAUACGUUCCCGGGUCU
rnacentral:rRNA from 1 species